GACCGCUCCGGUGGCCUAGUGGUUAGAGCGUCCGCCUCGGAUGCGGGAGGAUGCGGGAGGUCGUGGGUUCGAUCCCCGGUCGAGUCA